UGCAGUCGUAGGCGAUGGCUCACAUAAAUGUUGAUUGAGUUCCUGUGUAGGCUGCUGAUGGAUGCCUAGGGCUGGUAAUUGUAUGAUGAUGAUGAUCCUGUCUGUCUGUCUGUCUGUAUGAUAACUGAGUGAGUUCCGCUUGAUUUAGCGUAGGUUUGCGGGCGUUUCCCAGAGUUUAGUGAGUGCAAUUGCAGUGCAGUGCUCGCUCUUGAGAUUAGAAGAGCAACUGUAGUGAGUCCAGGAUGGUUGAUGUGAUGUGAUGUAACCUGUUGUUACAAGAACAUUCAUUAUUGCUUGGUUUGUAAAUGAACAUAAAUGUAGCCUGACUGUCUACAUCAUGCUGAACACAAGGGUUUGUUUCUUUAUCGUUUCCUUUUGUUUGCGAUGAGAUGAAACUAAGCCAGUGAAGAGCCAAUCUUUCGUACUCCCUCUGUUGUUCCUAUAGUGUCAAAAGAACGUCUUACGUUUUGAGACAGAGGGAGUAGUUGACUUUAUGCCAUAAGCUUUAAUAACCGUAUGAAAUAAUCGUUUCAGUUGAGCAAAUAAAAUGGAAGUCAUUUUCAGUCCGUAGAAAUAGCGCUCUGGUUUAGAAUUUGGGGAUCGGAAUUCAGAGGCAACUGAUUUUUGUAAUUUUGGAAAAUGAAGACAUGAGGGGAGCUGAAUGAAUGUCACGUGGGAGCAGUAUUGUCUAUUCAGCAAUGAGAUGCACUAGUAUUUAAAUAUGACGGUCAAACAGUCAACUGACACAAAGUGACGGCACAUGGUUAAACAAUACUCUAUGAAGCCAGAGUGGCAGCCACGUUACGCCAGUAGUAUUCUAAGGUAUGUUUGAUUUGAAGUUUUGAACCCAGUUAGAGCAUCUUGAUCCAGUAGAAAUCCUUAUUAGUGGAGUAAAUUUAAGUGCAUCUCUAGUUGUUAGUUGAUUUCUUAAAAACUUUAAGAAUUAGAGGAGUAAAUUUAAGAGCCACUGCACCUAGCCCAACCCUCAAACCUUACCUUCAGAGGAGUAAAAAUUUUAGGAGUUGCCUCCCAAAAGUAGCACAAGUCUCUUAAUUUUUUAGGCACUGCUACGCGUCCGCCGGAAAAUCAGUUGAUUAGAUCAGCCGCCUCGGCAACCGUCAGAUGCCGCCUAAAACAAUCAUCGAUCUACCGUCCCAGCCAGUCGAGGACCUUUGCAACAGCUAGCUUGUUGCGCUCAAGAGCUUUGCAACAAAGACCUUGUUGCAAUGGUCCGCCGAGACAAUAACUGGCCAAGACACGCACACCCUAGGCUGGAGACGUAGCUGCUGUGUCGCCAUGGUCCGAGCGCUUCGACCAUGGAGUGCCUCCGGUUGUUGGAGUUGCCACCCCUCCUCCACCCCAGCAUCAUGAGCAACUGCCACCUCUCCUCCAGCACCAUGGCGAGGACCUCUCAUGUCGGAUGCUUCUCCGGUGUUUUCUGCAAUCUGGGAUAUGUUUCUGAAACAUGCCUCAUCUUGCAGUGUCUGACCUCUCACGCUCUAAAGUUGAGCGCUCCUCCAACUGCAGCCUCCAACGCUGUCUGCAGCUGGGGUUAUAUUUAUGAAACAAGACCUCUAUUGGAGAGAACCAUUUUUUAUUUUUGAAAUAAAACCCUUGUUGCAAAAACCUUCUGAAACAAGAGCCAUGUCGCGGGAAAAAAUCUUCACCAUUGGACCAUUUUCUUCUUCUUUCGAAACAAGAUCUUUCUUAUAGGAACCUUCUGAAACAAGACCCUUGUUGCAAAAAAAAUGACUACGCGGGGCUUGUGACAGCGUGAGCGCUCCAUCCGAACUAUCCAACGGCUACGUAGGCGGCGGACGCUACACAUACAUCAGCCGGCUGAAGGGUAGCUUUUUCCUAAUUUUUUUGCCCGUCCGCCUCGUCUCCUAUGGUGCUUAUUUUUUAGGUGCCUUUUUGAAUUGUUAGGGUUUGUGCCAUGCUAAAAAAAGACGAGGCUGCAACGGGUUUUUGAAGAUGGAAUAAGGUUCUUGUGGGAUCCAAUCGACAUUUAUCUCCGGUGGAUCCUCUUGGAUCCGGUCGUUUUUCGUCUACAUAUGUGUUUCUGCAGGUUAGAUCCUUCUAAUCUACGCUUUUAUUCAUCGACGAUGGUUGAUGUUCUCGUGUGGUCCUAUUGGGUCUUAGUACAAAAACUUCCUGACUAUCUACUACAACAAUAUUUUUCUGGCUCCGAUUAGGGAUGCGCGAUGACGACGGCGUGCCUUCGGCUCGCUCAGUGUUUGUAGUCAUUGUUAGGUGGUUUAUGAAUCUGAAUGUAAUUUUUACUUCUGGUGUUCUUUAUACUACCUUGACAGUUGAUGAAUAGAUCAAAAGUUUUCUCACAAAAAAAGUCUUUUAUUUUUGCCCUAUGCCACUUCCGAGUUUUAUUAAUUUUCUUCUCCUCUCUCAUGUGCGACGUCUCUUCCUCCCGUCUGUCGCCGUCAAAACUCACACCGCCGACCGUCCGCCUCCCCGGUGACCAGAAAAAUGGAACCCCCAACAACCCCGCAACUCCGGCGACCCUUUGCCUACGUCGGAUUCUCAUUGCUGGUGACGAAUUUGGAGGAUUUUGGGCAAUUCAUAGCUCGCGCGUGUAUGCGUGUGUGUCUGCUGCUGUUGCGCACAUGUGUGUUGUGCUGCUGCUGCGCAUGUGUGUUGUGAUGCUGNNNNNNNNNNNNNNNNNNNNNNNNNNNNNNNNNNNNNNNNNNNNNNNNNNNNNNNNNNNNNNNNNNNNNNNNNNNNNNNNNNNNNNNNNNNNNNNNNNNNNNNNNNNNNNNNNNNNNNNNNNNNNNNNNNNNNNNNNNNNNNNNNNNNNNNNNNNNNNNNNNNNNNNNNNNNNNNNNNNNNNNNNNNNNNNNNNNNNNNNNNNNNNNNNNNNNNNNNNNNNNNNNNNNNNNNNNNNNNNNNNNNNNNNNNNNNNNNNNNNNCUCAAAAGCUGCGAAGCCAAGAGUUUCCCCUUAAGCGUUGGCUGAUCCAGUUUAUAAGGGAAACUAGAUCGAAAACCUAAACAAAGUGACCCCGUUUAUGAGGGAAACCGGGCCGAAAACCGUACAAGCAACACCCAGACAGGGCACACCAAGCUAGUAGACAAAAGACCAUCGCCAUGAAAGACAUUCGUAGAUGUGGGGUGUUGUCGAGGGAUCAGAAUACUCGAAUUUUGCAAGCAGCCUAACACACCGAAUUGGCGUGCGUACCAAGACCACGACACAACUCAGAAGCAUCCAUAAACAACGAGUGCAACUAAACACGAACCUUUACUACGGUAACAGGAUGAUUAGCAAGUUGGGGAGGCAUCUUGCGCCAUCAAUGAGCAAAGAAGAACCGGACAUCACCAAGAGCACGGAGCUCACCGCAACACAUCGGCAGCCAUGGGAGGGUCUUGAGCAAGCCAACAACAUGGGUGAGACACCUUCGCGAGUGGGAAAACGGAUGGCCGUCCCAUGAUGCCAAUGGCACCGCCGCCAAACCCCAAAGAACAGCACCGAACAACCGCCGUCGACCCCAAACCGGUCGUACCACCACCACCGUCAAAUCAACACUGGUCCCCCAGCUGACCCCUACUCCAGAAAUGAUGCCUACAAGAGGGGAACGACGCGGCCCACCACCAUCAUCCGAUCCGAAAGAGCACAGACCUGAGGUUUCCCUCGGAGCAGGGAAUGACAAGGCAGAGGAGCAUGCUACCUGUUGAGCACUGCGUUGGUUUCUCCCGAAGAGGAAGCGAUGAUGCAGCAAAGUAGCAUAAGUAUUUCCCUCAGUUUUUGAGAAUCAAGGUAUCAAUCCAGUAGGAGGCUACACGCAAGUCCCUCGUACCUGCACAAAACAAAUAAAUCCUCGCAACCAACGCGAGUAGGGGUUGUCAAUCCCUACACGGCCACUUACGAGAGUGAGAUCUGAUAGAUAUGAUAAGAUAAUAUUUUUGGUAUUUUUGUGAUAAAGAUGCAAAGUAAAAUAAAGGCAAAGUAAAAAGCAAAGGAAAUAACUAAGUAGUAGGAGAUUAAUAUGAUGAAGAUAAACCCCGGGGGCCAUAGGUUUCACUAGUGGCUUCUCUCGAGAGCAUAAGUAUUCUACGGUGGGUGAACAAAUUACUGUUGAGCAAUUGACAGAAUUGAGCAUAGUCAUGAGAAUAUCUAGGUAUGAUCAUGUAUAUAGGCAUCACAUCCGAGACAAGUAGACCGACUCCUGCCUGCAUCUACUACUAUUACUCCACUCAUCGACCGCUACCCAGCAUGCAUCUAGAGUAUUAAGUUAAAAACAGAGUAACGCCUUAAGCAAGAUGACAUGAUGUAGAGGGAUAGACUCAUGCAAUAUGAUGAAAACCUCAUCUUGUUAUCCUCGAUGGCAACAAUACAAUACGUGCCUUGUUGCCCCUAGUGUCACUGGGAAAGGACACCGCAAGAUUGAACCCAAAGCUAAGCACUUCUCCCAUUGCAAGAAAGAUCAAUCUAGUAGGCCAAACCAAACUGAUAAUUCAAAGAGACUUGCAAAGAUAACCAAUCAUACAUAAAAGAAUUCAGAGGAGAUUCAAAUAAUGUUCAUAGAUAAUCUUGAUCAUAAACCCACAAUUCAUUGGUCUCAACAAACACACCGCAAAAAGAAGAUUACAUCAAAUAGUUCUCCACAAGAGAGGGGGAGAACAUUGUAUUGAGAUCCAAAAAGAGAGAAGAAGCCAUCUAGCUAAUAACUAUGGACCCGUAGGUCUGAGGUAAACUACUCACACUUCAUCGGAGAGGCUAUGGUGUUGAUGUACAAGCCCUCCGUGAUCGAUGCCCCCACCGACGGAGCUCCGAAACAGGCCCUAAGAUGGGAUCUUGUGGAUACAGAAAGUUGUGGCGGUGGAAUUAGGUUUUUGGUUCCGUCCCUGAUCGUUUGGGGGUACGUAGGUAUAUAUAGGAGGAAGGAAUACGUCGGUGGAGCAACAGGGGGCCCACGAGGGUGGAGGGCGCACCUAGGGGAGGUAGGCGCGCCCCUACCUCGUGGCCUCCUCUUUUGUGCCUUGACAUAGGGUGCAAGUCUCCCGGGUCUUGUUUGUUGAGAAAAUCACGUUCCCGAAGGUUUCAUUCCGUUUGGACUCCGUUUGAUAUUCCUUGUCUUCAAAACGCUAAAACAUGCAAAAAACAACAAUUCUGGGCUGGGCCUCCGGUUAAUAGGUUAGUCCCAAAAAUAAUAUAAAAGUGGAUAAUAAAGCCCAAUAAUGUCCAAAACAGUAGAUAAUAUAGCAUGGAGCAAUUAAAAAUUAUAGAUACGUUGGAGACGUAUCAAGCAUCCCCAAGCUUAAUUCCUGCUCGUCCUCGAGUAGGUAAAUGAUAAAAACAGAAUUUUUGAUGCGGAGUGCUACUUGGCAUAAUUUUAAUGUAAUUCUUCUUAAUUGUGGUAUGAAUAUUCAGAUCCGAAAGAUUCAAGACAAACGUUUAAUAUUGACAUAAAAAUAAUAAUACUUCAAGCAUACUAACAAAGCAAUUAUGUCUUCUCAAAAUAACAUGGCCAAAGAAAGUUAUCCCUACAAAAUCAUAUAGUCUGGCUAUGCUCCAUCUUCACCACACAAAAUAUUUAAAUCAUGCACAACCCCGGUGACAAGCCAAGCAAUUGUUUCAUACUUUUGACAUUCUCUAACUUUUUCAAUCUUCACGCAAUACAUGAGCGUGAGCCAUGGAUAUAACACUAUAGGUGGAAUAGAAUGGUGGUUGUGGAGAAGACAAAAAGGGAGAAGAUAGUCUCACAUCAACUAGGCGCAUCAACGGGCUAUGGAGAUGCCCAUCAAUAGAUAUCAAUGUGAGUGAGUAGGGAUUGCCAUGCAACGGAUACAGUAGAGCUAUAAGUAUAUGAAAGCUCAAAAAGAAACUAAGUGGAUGUGCAUCCAACUUGCUUGCUCAUGAAGACCUAGGGCAUUUUGAGGAAGCCCAUCAUUGGAAUAUACAAGCCAAGUUCUAUAAUGAAAAAUUCCCACUAGUAUAUGAAAGUGAUAACAUGAGAGACUCUCUACUAUGAAUAUCAUGGUGCUACUUUGAAGCACAAGUGUGGUAAAAGGAUAGUAACAUUGUCCCUUCUCUCUUUUUCUCUCAUUUUUUUAUUUGGGUCUUUUUUAUGGCCUCUUUUAUUUUUUUAUUUUUUAUUUUUUGUCCGGAGUCUCAUCCCGACUUGUGGGGGAAUCAUAGUCUCUAUCAUUCUUUCCUCACUGGGACAAUGCUCUAAUAAUGAUGAUCAUCACACUUUUAUUUUUCUUAUAACUCAACAAUUACAACUCGAUACUUAGAACAAAAUAUGACUCUAUAUGAAUGCCUCCGGCGGUGUACCGGGAUAUGCAAUGAAUCAAGAGUGACAUGUAUGAAAGAAUUAUGAAUGGUAGCUUUGCCACAAAUACGAUGUCAACUACAUGAUCAUGCUAAACAAUAUGACAAUGAUGGAGUGGAACGGUGGAAAGUUGCAUGGCAAUAUAUCUCGGAAUGGCUAUGGAAAUGCCAUAAUAGGUAGGUAUGGUGGCUGUUUUGAGGAAGGUAUAUGGUGGGUGUAUGAUACGGACGAAAGGUGCGCGAUAUUAGAGAGGCUAACAAAGGUGGAAGGGUGAGAGUGCGUAUAAUCCAUGGACUCAACAUUAGUCAUAAAGAACUCAUAUACUUAUUGCAAAAAUCUACAAGUUAUCAAAGCAAAGUAUUACGUGCAUGCUCCUACGGGGAUAGAUUGGUAGGAAAAGACCAUCGCUCGUCCCCGGCCACCACUCAUAAGGAAGACAAUCAAUAAAUAAAUCAUGCUCCGAUUUCAUCACAUAACGGUCCACCAUGCGUGCAUGCUACGGGAAUCACAAGCUUCAACACAACUAUUUCUCAAAUUCACAAGUACUCAACUAGCACAACUUUAAUAUCACCAUCUUUAUAUCUCAAAACAAUUAUCAAGUAUCAAACUUCUCGUAGUAUUCAACACACUCAUAAGAAAGUUUUAUUAUUAAUCUUGUAUACCAAGCACAUUAGGAUUUUAAGCAAAUUACCAUGCUUUUUAAGACUCUCAAAAUAAUCUAAGUGAAGCAUGAUAUAUCAAUAGUUUCUAUAAAACAAAUCCACCACCGUGCUCUAAAAGAUAUAAGUGAAGUACUAGAGCAAAAUUACAUAACUCAAAAGAUAUAAGCGAAUCACAUAGAGUAUUCUAACAAAUUCCAAAUCAUGUAUAGCUCUCUCAAAAGGUGUGUACAGCAAGGAUGAUUGUAGUAAACUAAAAGGCAAAUACUCAAAUCAUACAAUAUUGUCCAAGCAAAACACAUAUCAUGUGGUGAAUAAAAAUAUAGCUCCAAGUAAAGUUACCGAUAGAAGUAGACGAAAGAGGGGAUGCCUUCCGGGGCAUCCCCAAGCUUUGGCUUUUAGGUGUCCUUAGAUUAUCUUGGGGGUGCCAUGGUCAUCCCCAAGCUUAGGCUAUUUCCACUCCUUGUUCCAUAAUCCAUCAAAUCUUUACCCAAAACUUAAAAACUUCACAACACAAAACUUAAAGUAGAAAAUCUCGUGAGCUCUGUUAGCGAAAGAAAAUAAAAGAUCACUUCAAGGUACUAUAAUGAACUCAUUCUUUAUUUAUAUUGGUGUUAUACCUACUGUAUUCCAACUUCUCUAUGGUUUAUAAACUAUUUUACUAGCCAUAGAUUCAUCAAAAUAAGCAAACAACACACGAAAAACAGAAUCUGUCAAAAACAGAACAGUCUGUAGUAACCUGUAGCUAGCGCAAGAUCUGGAACCCCAAAAAUUCUAAAAUAAAUUGUUGGACGUGAGGAGUGUAUCUAUUAAUCAUCUGCAAAAAUAAUUAACUAAAUGUCACUCUCCAAAUAAAAAUGGCAGCAGUUCUCGUGAGCGCUAAAGUUUCUGAUUUUUACAGCAAGUUCAACAAGACUUUCCCCAAGUCUUCCCAACGGUUCUACUUGGAACAAACACUAAUUAGACAUAAAAAAACACAACCAAAACAGAGGAUAAAUAAAUUAUUUAUUACUAAACAGGAGCAAAAAGCAAGGAAUAAAAAUAAAAUUGGGUUGCCUCCCAACAAGCGCAGAUCUAGGUAUUGCCAUCUUUGGUUGGCAAUCCAUAAGUGGCUCUCAUAAUAGAUUCAUAAGGUAAUUUAAUUUUCUUUCUAGGAAAGUGUUCCAUACCUUUCCUUAAUGGAAAUUGGAAUCUAAUAUUUCCUUCCUUCAUAUCAAUAAUUGCACCAAUCGUUCUAAGGAAAGAUCUACCAAGAAUAAUAGGACAUGAAGGAUUGCAAUCUAUGUCAAGAACAACGAAAUCUACGGGCACAUAAUUCCUAUUUGCAACAAUAAGAACAUCAUUAAUUCUUCUCAUAGGUUUCUUAAUAGUGGAAUCCGCAAGGUGCAAGUUUAGAGAGCAAUCAUCAAAAUCACGGAAGCCUAACAAAUCACACAAAGUCUUUGGAAUCGUGGAUACACUAGCACCCAAAUCGCAUAAAGCAUAGCAUUCAUGAUCUUUAAUUUUAAUUUUAAUAGUUGGUUCCCACUCAUCAUAAAGUUUUCUAGAGAUAGAAACUUCCAAUUCAAGUUUUUCUUCAUAAGAUUGCAUCAAGGCAUCAACGAUAUGUUUAGUAAAUGCUUUAUUUUGACUAUAAGCAUGAGGAGAAUUUAGCACGGAUUGCAAGAAGGAAAUACAAUCAAUCAAACAACAAUUUUCAUAGUUAAAUUCCUUAAACUCCAUAAUAGUGGGUUUAGCAACAUCUAGGGUUUUAAUUUCUUCAAUCCCACUUUUAUCAAUUUUAGCAUCAAGAUCAACAAUUUCCGAAUUCUUGGAACGCCUUCUAGGUAAAGGUGGAUCAUAUUCAGUCCCAUCAUUAUCAAGAUUCAUAUUGCAAAACAAAGAUUUAAUAGGGGACACAUGAAUAACUUUUAGAUCUUCAUCUUUAUUUUCAUAGCAAUCCAGUUUAGCGGCCAUCUUAUUAACUAAGGUAGCCUGCCUAUCCGAAAUUUCAGCAGUUAAUUUCUCAAGAUGAGCAAUUUGGGAUCUUAAACCAUCGAAUUCUUUAGACAUAUCAUCAAGCUCUUUAUUCAUAAAACUCAUAAAACUUUUCUGUUCUUUAAGCUCGUUUCUAAAGAAACUAUUAUGUUCAAAUUGCAAAACCAUGAAACUCCUGACAUUGCUUUCGACCUCUUCUAGCCUUUUAAGGUGAAGGUCACCAAAUUUAGGUAGAGCCAUAGUGACAAGCAAGCAAACUAACACAUAAGCAAAAAGCAAGCGGGCAAAAAGAGGCAAAUAGAGAAAGAGAUGGAGGAUAGAGAGAGAGGGUGAAUAAAACGGCAAGGGUGAAGUGGGGGAGAGGAAAACGAGAGGCAAAUGGCAAAUAAUGUAAUGCGGGAGAUAAGGGUAUGUGAUGGGUACUUGGUAUGUUGACUUUUGCGUAGACCUCCCCGGCAACGGCGCCAGAAAUCCUUCUUGCUACCUCUUGAGCACUGCGUUGGUUUCCCCCGAAGAGGAAGCGAUGAUGCAGCAAAGUAGCGUAAGUAUUUCCCUCAGUUUUUGAGAACCAAGGUAUCAAUCCAGUAGGAGGCUACACGCAAGUCCCUCGUACCUGCAUAAAACAAAUAAAUCCUCGCAACCAACGCGAAUAGGGGUUGUCAAUCCCUACACGGCCACUUACGAGAGUGAGAUCUGAUAGAUAUGAUAAGAUAAUAUUUUGGUAUUUUUGUGAUAAAGAUGCAAAGUAAAAUAAAGGCAAAGUAAAAAGUAAAGGAAAUAACUAAGUAGUGGGAGAUUAAUAUGAUGAAGAUAGACCCCGGGGGCCAUAGGUUUCACUAGUGGCUUCUCUCGAGAGCAUAAGUAUUCUACGAUGGGUGAACAAAUUACUGUUGAGCAAUUGACAGAAUUGAGCAUAGUUAUGAGAAUAUCUAGGUAUGAUCAUGUAUAUAGGCAUCACGUCCGAGACAAGUAGACCGACUCCUGCCUGCAUCUACUACUAUUACUCCACUCAUCGACCGCUACCCAGCAUGCAUCUAGAGUAUUAAGUUAAAAACAGAGUAACGCCUUAAGCAAGAUGACAUGAUGUAGAGGGAUAGACUCAUGCAAUAUGAUGAAAACCCCAUCUUGUUAUCCUCGAUGGCAACAAUACAAUACGUGCCUUGCUGCCCCUAGUGUCACUGGGAAAGGACACCGCAAGAUUGAACCCAAAGCUAAGCACUUCUCCCAUUGCAAGAAAGAUCAAUCUAGUAGGCCAAACCAAACUGAUAAUUCGAAGAGACUUGCAAAGAUAACCAAUCAUACAUAAAAGAAUUCAGAGGAGAUUCAAAUAAUGUUCAUAGAUAAUCUUGAUCAUAAACCCACAAUUCAUUGGUCUCAACAAACACACCGCAAAAAGAAGAUUACAUCGAAUAGUUCUCCACAAGAGAGGUGGAGAACAUUGUAUUGAGAUCCAAAAAGAGAGAAGAAGCCAUCUAGCUAAUAACUAUGGACCCGUAGGUCUGAGGUAAACUACUCACACUUCAUAGGAGAGGCUAUGGUGUUGAUGUACAAGCCCUUCGUGAUCGAUGCCCCCACCGACGGAGCUCCGGAAUAGGCCCCAAGAUGGGAUCUCGUGGAUACAGAAAGUUGCGGCGGUGGAAUUAGGUUUUUGGCUCCGUCCCUGAUCGUUUGGGGGUACGUAGGUAUAUAUAGGAGGAAGGAGUACGUCGGUGGAGCAACAGGGGGCCCACGAGGGUGGAGGGCACGCCUAGGGGAGGUAGGCGCGCCCCCUACCUCGUGGCCUCCUCUUUUGUGCCUUGACGUAGGGUCUAAGUCUCUCGGGUCUUGUUUGUUGAGAAAAUCACGUUCCCGAAGGUUUCAUUCCGUUUGGACUCCGUUUGAUAUUCCUUUUCUUCGAAAUCCUAAAACAGGCAAAAAUCAGCAAUUCUGGGCUGGGCCUCCGGUUAAUAGGUUAGUCCUAAAAAUAAUAUAAAAGUGGAUAAUAAAGCCCAAUAAUGUCCAAAACAGUAGAUAAUAUAGCAUGGAGCAAUCAAAAAUUAUAGAUACGUUGGAGACGUAUCGGAGCACUUCACCACAACAUCGCCCUCAAGAAGGUAGCAACGCCCACGGACGCCGCCACUGCCGGCUCCGACCAAAGCCGGAGAUAGAGUUUCGCCUGGCAGUCUCCUACGCCUCUGAGCAGAGCAGCCGGUCCACCACGAGCACCACCCCAACCACCACCAACCUCUGCCUGCUGCCCACAGCCUAGCUCCCAAUAGUGAGCCGCCACCUCACCGCUAAGCAACAUCCAUCUCGGUGGCCUGAGACGCCAGAUCUGGUGCUGCGCCUGGAGCCCCGACCCACCUAGUUGGCUAGCAACAAGGCCAGCAACAGCCGUGCAGAGGCAGCCUGGGGCCACAUGAACCCAGCCAGCCUCGGCCGAAGGCCACAAGCAGCCAUUGGGUCCUAUGCCGAUCUCUAGAUCCAGGGGAAGACUCCCACGGAUCUAGGACGCAGCUUGCGUGAGAACCCGUAGCAGCGCAGUCAAGCUCCAUCGAGCAGCAACACCGCCACAUCUGCAGCCCCCCGGUCCGCCGAUGUUGCCGCCGCCGCACCUUGUUUCACCGGCGCGGCCACCACCCACGAACAAACCAACAUGAGCACCGAGGCGACGGAUCACGCCCAUAACCACCGCCGUCCACCACCACUUCAGAGCUCGUCGACGUGCGUCGAGGGAGCACCGCGCGGUCGGCCACCACUCGAGCCCCCUGCUCAAGGGAUGGCGCCGCACUGAGAGCUGCUGUCCCCAACUAUGUGAGUUGUGCUUGUUGCAUUUAUAUGCAACUUGCUGCUAAUUUGUCAAAAAUAAUAAAAUCCUAUUUUUCAAUCUCACUUUCAUAUCUUGUGGUCGAAAAAAGAUUAAAAUAUAUUAAUAAACUAUUAUUGGUAGACAUGCAAAUACCUCCUUCCCUGCCGCCAAUAAUACACAACUUUUGCCCCCCCCAGCGGUUGUCACAUUGAAGACAUGCAGUCGCAAUCGAGGACGACACAUGGAGUCGCAUGCUUAGUGGCAGACAUGAAACUCACCCCCUUCCACCAACAAAACUUCACUAAGUUGCAGCCGCAUUGGAAGAUAUGCAGUUGCAGUCGGGGACGACACUUGCAGCUGCAUGCCUAGUGACGAUCAUGCAACUGCCCCUCCCCCUCAAGAAACACUACAAAAUUGCAACUGCAUUGAAGACAUGCAAUUGUAGUCGGGGUGAAAAUUGCAAUUGCGUGCCUAGUGGUGGGCAUGCAAUUGCCUCUCCUUCCACCAACAAAACUUCACUAAGUUGCAGUCGCACUGGAAGAUAUGCAAUUGCAGUCAGAGGUGACACUUCCAGUUGCAUGCCUAGUGACGGACAUGCAACUGCCCCCUCCCCCUAAUAAAGUUGUAGUCGGGGGUCACACUUGCAGUUGGGUGCCUAGUGGUGAGCAUGCAAUUGCCUCUCCUCUGUACCACAAAACAUAAAUGAGUUGCAACUGUGUGGAAGACAUGGUGUUGCAUUCAAGGAUAACAUGCAACUAACCCCUUCCCUGACAAAACAUUAUGUAGUUACAAUCACGUUGAACACAUGCAUUUGUAGUUAGGGGGACACGUGCGGUUGCGUUCCUAGUGAAGGACAUGCAGCUAACCCCUCCGCAUGUCUAGUGACAGUCAUGCACCCCCCUGACAAAACACAACAAAAUGCAACUACGCUGAAGGCAUGUAGUUGCAGUAGGGGGAGACACUUGCAAUUACAUGUCUAGUGGUGGACAUGCAAUUGCAUCUCCUCCGCCCGACAAAAACACCACUGAGUUGCAACCACCUAGAAGACAUUCAGUUGCAGUCAAGGGCGACACUUGCAGUUGCAUGCCUAGUGACCAGACAUGCAACUGCCCCCUCUCCCGACGAAGCACUACAAAAUUGUAACCACGUUGAAGACAUGCAGUUGUAGUCGGAGACGACACUUGUAGUUGCAUGACUAGUAGUAGAAUGAAACUCUCGCCCUCCCCGUGGACAAACCACCNNNNNNNNNNNNNNNNNNNNNNNNNNNNNNNNNNNNNNNNNNNNNNNNNNNNNNNNNNNNNNNNNNNNNNNNNNNNNNNNNNNNNNNNNNNNNNNNNNNNNNNNNNNNNNNNNNNNNNNNNNNNNNNNNNNNNNNNNNNNNNNNNNNNNNNNNNNNNNNNNNNNNNNNNNNNNNNNNNNNNNNNNNNNNNNNNNNNNNNNNNNNNNNNNNNNNNNNNNNNNNNNNNNNNNNNNNNNNNNNNNNNNNNNNNNNNNNNNNNNNNNNNNNNNNNNNNNNNNNNNNNNNNNNNNNNNNNNNNNNNNNNNNNNNNNNNNNNNNNNNNNNNNNNNNNNNNNNNNNNNNNNNNNNNNNNNNNNNNNNNNNNNNNNNNNNNNNNNNNNNNNNNNNNNNNNNNNNNNNNNNNNNNNNNNNNNNNNNNNNNNNNNNNNNNNNNNNNNNNNNNNNNNNNNNNNNNNNNNNNNNNNNNNNNNCCUAUUGGCAGACAUGCAACUGCCCUCCUACCCAAGAAAGCAACACAUAGUUCCAAUCGAGGGCAACACUUGCAGUUGUGUGCCUAGUAGAAAACAUGCAACCGCCCCUCCCUCAGAAAGAAACACCGUUGAGUUGAAGUUGCAUCUCAGGGACACACUUGCAGUUGCGUGCCUAUUGGAGACAUGCAACCCACCUCCCUCGCUGAUAAAACAAUACAUAGUUGCAGUCAGGCAACACUUGCAGUUGCGUGAGUAGUAGCAGGCAUGCAACUACCUCACUUCCAUGAAAACACGUCACUGAGUUGCAGCUAUAGUCGGGGAGACACUUGCAGUUGCGUGCCUAUUGGCAUACAUGCAACUACCCUCCUCCCCAACAAAAUAACACAGAGUUACAGUCGGAGGCGACACUUGCAGUUGCGUGCCUAGUGGUGCAACUGCCACCUCCCUUGGACAAAAACACCAUUGAGUUGAAGUUGCAUUUCGGGGACACACUUGCAAUUGCGUGCCUACUAAAAGAUAUGCAAUCCGUCCCCAUAAAACAAGACAGAGUUGCGGCCGCAUUGAAGACACAAAGUUGCAGUCGGAGGCGACACUUAGAGUUGCGUGACUAGUAGUAGCCAUGCAAUUGCCCCGCUUCCAUGAAACAAAACAUCAAGGGCGAACAUGCAAUUACAACUCAGUGGAGUUACUUGAAGUUGCAUGCAGGGCAUAAUAGCACAAGUGCACAUCAAGGGCGAACAUGCAACUAGGUGGAAAAUAAAAAAAACUAUUUAUACAAAUAAAAAAACCCAAAAUAAACCAAAAUAUAAAUAAAUAAAAGCAGAAAAAGGAAAGAUUAAUAGGACAAAAUAACCAUCAACAAAACAAUUGCAAAAAGCAAACUAAUAACGAAUUUGAUUGCACACAUGUAAAAGACAUGUAACUAUACGCAUCCAGAUGUUUUUCGUAGAAAAAAAUUCAACUCAGUUGCACACAUAUGACGAGUGAGCAAUGGUAGUGCAAAAUGAAAUUAAACAUAAAAUUAACCAUAAAUAUACCUAUUUUGUGUGUCAAAAAAUUAUAAAUAUACCUACCGGCCGCCUAUGCACCUAGCUUAUAGCACACUUAGUUACACACAUGUUUUCACAUCUUUCCGUUCCGUGUGCAAGACAGGCGUACAACCUAAGGAUGGGUUUGAAAAAAAAAGGGCCCCCUUUACUAGAAAAAGAAAACAAAAAUCAAACCCCAAACACAAAAAAUAGAGCAAAAAAGAAAAAAAAACAAGGAAAAAAGGACAUGUACAAAAAAAGGACAAAAAACACAAAAAGGACAUGAACAUAGAAAAAAAAGGACUCACUAAGUGUCGGAUGAGUGCUUCGACGUGAACAUAAAAAAUGGACAAGAAAAGAAACAACAAAGAAAAAAAUAACGAGGCCCUCAUCUUUUUUACAACUUGCCUUAUCAAUUAGAAAAUAACCACAAUUUGAUUUUGAGUGGAACAAAAAUAAAACAUAAAUUAACUACCAAACUGAAAAACAACGUAUAUCUUAAUUUUAUUUUUAAGAAGGGAGACGUAUAGCUCAGACACAAUAUUUCUCACACAUCCAGAAAAAAGGCCCAAUAGACAAGAGACCCUCCCUCACGCUCAGCCCAUGAUGCAUCCCUGCCCAACACAAGGAAAAAAACAAAAAAACAGAACAAGAAGAGGCUGUUUGCACCAUAAUGGGCCGAUACUACACGGGCUGACUCGUCGACUGUCGAGUGGGAUUUAGCAGCUUCGAUUACAGAUUUCGUUGCAGAGGAUGGCUAACACGCGCGCGCGCGUCGCAACGCUCGGUUUCGGACCAGGUAGGCUUUCCUCUUAAGUAUGUGCGCAACGAGUCGAAUUUCCUUUUUAACUAACCAGAGUGGCAGAGAUUGAGGACACGCCGGCCCCCCACCCCCCCGUUGAAAUCAGGGGGGGCGAGAGAGAUUAGGGAAAGUGGCGGGCCCGUGCUUGCAUGUGUGGCUAAAUUCACGGAGCAGAGAGAACGUGCUGGACCAGGGUGCUUGCAUGCAACUGAGAAAGAAAAUUUUGGUGGGUCCAGGCGCUCACGGAAUUGCUACCAUUCCUUGCAUGCAUCCUCACGCUGGGCACAAGGUAGGACCCACUAAUAAUGACCCUGGUAGUUUAGAAAUGGAAAGUGGAAGGAGAUACGCCGCUGUCUGUCGCGCGUCGCAACGCGCGAGCGCGAAGGAGUGAUUUCGUUGCAGCAGUAGGAUAGGAUUUCAACGUGCAGAUUUCCUUUCAUGGAUGCCAAUAAAUGAGAAUUUUAGUAGUAAAAAUGACUCUUAUUUUGUGUACAAAGAGUACAACUAUAUGCUUGAACAUCCACACAAGCAGUAGAAUUUUAGAACUGAUUUUGCAGGAGGAUUGCCACUUAAGUGUAAAUAUACUCUAUAAGCUAUCACUGAUUAAUUUUUGCAUCAACUGCUGCUAAUGUAUUUUGCAUGCACAUAUAAUUCUCAUCAAAUUUUAUUAUAUGUCAAAAAAAAUCGGUUAUAACUUAUAAUGCACGGGCAUAUGUGCUACUACUCCCUCCGGUCCUUUUUACUCUGCAUACUAGAAUUCUCUGAAGUCAAACUUCACAAAGUUUGACCGUAUUUAUAUGAAAAAAUGUCAACAUCUGUCAUGCUAAAGUUAUACAAUAUGAAACUUUAAGUCAUGAUACAUUUAUUGAUAUUGAUUUCAGAUUGUGAAUGUUGGUACUUUUUUCUAUAAAGUUGGUCAAACUUUACGAGGCUUGACUUUAGUCAAAUCUUAUAUGCGAACUAAAAAGGAUAGGAGGGAGUAUAAUAUAAACAUAAAUGUUCUAAGAAAAGUAUAAACCUAAAUCUGUUUAAUAUAAACCUGAAAUAUCUUUUUUGAUGGAUAAAUAUCUUAGUGCGAUGAUUUGAUACGCUGGCCGCCGAAGCCGUGCGCCGGUCGCGUGCGAGCUAUCUGAUUCUUCAGAUCGUACGUCUCGCAGGCCUAGCAUUGAACUUAUUACUAGGGCCAUGCACUGCUGCACUUACCUUUAUCUAUCGAUUCAUGGGGCGGGAAAUACGGUUGUGUUUCUGGUUGUAUAUACAUCCUAUAUGAGAAUUUUUGUAAAUAUUUUAGUAAAAAGUCAAAAUAGGUAAGAACUAUUUUGACAAAACACUUGAGUUACUUUUGCACUAGUAUAUAAAUUUUCAAGAAGAAAAAAAGUUGACCUCACAGCAAAAAAGGCAAAAUUUAUUUGCUAUUAUAGGUCACUAUUCACACUAUUUUAGCGAAAAAUGUCUUUUUUUGAAAAGAAGUCAAAGGGAGAUUUUCUUUUUGUGGAUUUUUUCUUACCAGUACAAUAGAAGGUCAAGUUUAUUUCAAAAAUAUUUUCAGGAAUUUUUGACAUUUUAUUGAAUUACUACUUUUUUUUCAUAUAGGGUGUAGAUGUCCCCAUAGACCACAAAUCCACCUCCUUAAUGGGGCACUCUUUAUCGACUCGCUUUUCUUUCUCUCGUUUCUCCUUCCCAAGCGCACCACGCGCCAUGGCUCCAGCUGCUCUUGUACCGUUGCGCAUGCAAGGCCAUGGCUGCCGCCAUCGUCGAUGGUUUGGCCGGCUGAGCACACGAUUUCUCUCUGCGAAGGCGACAUGCUCAGCCACAUUUUUUUUUGAGAAAGUUGCGACUCAACGGUGUUGCUGGAACCGGCCGAACAAAAAGCUGCAAUCACACAAACUAGUGCUGGAACCGAAGACCGUCGAGUCGUUCUCAUUGGCGUCGACUUUGUUUUUGCCACAACCGGCAAGAUUUUUUUUGCUGGAUCCGGCAAGUUUUUUGUUGGAACCCAUCGGCAGCAACACAUGAUUUUUGUUGGAACCGGCGAUUUGUUUUUGCUGCAGCCGGGCGAACUAUUUGUUGCAACCGUGCAAUACAUAGCGACAGCCGGCGUUAGAAAAAAUGUUGCAAUCAGUGAGCACGGAAGCUGCAACCUGCGACAAAAAAGCUCUACUGUCGAGCCCGAAAGCUGCAACCGCAACCAAAAAAGCUAUGACUGGCAAGCCCCGAAGUUGCGACCCACGUGCACAAAAGUUGCAGCCGACACAACCGAUACUUAGCAAUUAGGAGUACCAUGUUGUCACAAGUUCGGUCGCAUGUGGCGAAAAUAUAUACAAGUUGAAAGCGAAUCCACGUCAAGUAUGCGAUACGGAUACGGAUACAGAUUGGAUUAAUUGGACAUCGUGACGACUUCCAGUUGCAGGCAUACAUGUUUCGAAACCCAAACCCUACGCAGACUAGUCGAGGUUCCUCCUCAGAUCAGAUCGUCCCAAGACACGGCGGCGGCCAUGGUGGCCUCGCUCCCGCACGACCUCCUCCUCGACAUCCUGCUCCGCGUGGACGACGCGGCCGCGCUCUUCCGAUGUGCCGCGGCCUGCAAGCAGUGGCGAGGCCUCGUCGCCGACCCCGCCAUGCUCCGCCGCCGGUGGCCGGAGGACGCGCGCCCGUCCCUCGCCGGCUUCUUCAUCAAGAACCGGGUCCGUGAUCAAGAGGCCAAGGCGCUCGUCCCCACGCCACGGUCGGCGCUGGGCCGCCGGUGCCGUGGCCUCCGCUCCUUCGUGCCCACCGUGCCCGACCGCUGUCCUCGCGCCGCGGCCUCCCCCUCACGCGCCUCGUCCCGCCCCGUGAGGCCGACCUGGACGAGACGGUCCUCCGUCUGGCCGUGUGCAACCUUGUCCUCGGCACGUGCGACGAGCUUCCUCCUCUAAUGCGCACCACCUCUGUCGGCUACCGUGACUAUGGAUGCUACUGUUGUGCCGUCCUAUCCGGUGACGACUGUCGCUCCGGCGGCGUCGGCGAACAGCCGCCGGCCAACUCGCCCUUCUACAAAGUGGUAAUCAUCACGGCCGGCCACGAAGGCCAACGGAUUAACUUUGACAUCCACACCUUGUCGACUGAGAAACCGAGCUGGAGUACAAGGCGCUCCCUUGAAACUAUUUUUUCCAGUAUCCUCGGGUCAUUCUGUGCGUACUGGCUAUUUCGUGAUGACGCGGGACGGCGUUUCAAUCUUGUUAAACUGGUUGGCCAGGACGACCAUCUCAUGUUCGGGUGGCCCUCGGUCCCGAUGGCGCGUGGCCGGGAUCACCGCCCGUGCCUUAGCCUGUCCAGCGACGGCACGCUCUCGCUACUACAGAUGCGAGAUGGCACGCUGGAGAUGCGGAGACAAGAGGGCCAGGAGGGUGUGUAUGGUGUGCCUCCCUCACACGAUCAGGUUGAUACAGCAGCCAUACUGGAAGAAGACGACGACCCAAGGAAAAGACACGCUUUCCAUACUGGGAGACAAGUGCGGCAAAUUGCUUGUCAUGAACGGACGCGGGCGCGUGUACACCGCCGACCUCGAGACCGGAGCAAUGAAGGAGGUGGCGGACGGGCCUCACGCCCGCCCCAGCAGCCCUCUGGAUGCCGUGCUCUUAGAGAUGGACUGGCCGGCGUUCUUCGUUUCACGUCUUGGUGCUGACAGGUAUAGCUAGCCAUGAUUAUACAUGUGCCUUUGUUUUCUUCUAGGUUGCUUCUACUUACCAUGGUUGAUUGAUACAUGGGUGUUGCUUGUGUUUUUCUUCUUUUGUUGGUGAAUCCGGGGCUUCCCCUCUCAUGUCCCAGUGAAGAGACAGCUGCAAGAAGGACAAGGCAACGCAAGGGAAGAGGCGGCAGGAAGACUCGCAGCCCAGCCUAGGCAGCAGAUACAGGAAUUAAUUUUUGGUCUUGUAUGUUUUGAUGUAAAAAAUUUAUUAUACAUAUUUGAAAAUGUAAAGCUCAUAGUGUGUUAAAAAGAAAAUGAUAGUGUUAUCUCAAAGUGUAGCACCCAGUUCACAUGCAUGGUGCACAAAUGUACUGCCCCUGUAUUCAGCCGGCACCUACGUACCCGCAGAUCCACCAAGGAGACGACGGCGGCAUAGCCUUGUUGUAAAUCGAUGGAUUUUCGGUAAAGGCAAUGACCUUGCUCCCGGAUUGGAAGCAACGGCACCAUCACCGGCACCAUCACCGGCGCCUACUGCCUCAAGGAUAAGAACCCCAGUGCAAAGGUGAAGCUCAGUCUGUUUCUGUUAUGUUAACAUGUACUCCUUUCAUUCGGAAUUACUUGUCUCGGAAAUGGAUGUAUCUAGAACUAAAAUACAUCUAGAUACAUCCAUUUCUGCGACAAGUAAUUCCGAACGGAGGGAGUAAAUUACAUGAUCCUGUGAUAGGUUUUGAUGUGAAGCUUGUUUGUGUUCUUCAGUUUAAACACAUAUCUUUGGAUGAUCCUGUUAUCUUAUUGCUUAUUGUUUAAAUCACACAGUUCAAUCUUCUGUGCUAUCUAUAAUUAUGAGAGAAGGAGGCGUGCAGCAGAUGACGCGUGCCGCGUGGAUGAAUCCAGAACUGUCCGUUGGUACAAGCAUUGAAGGUACUGUCUUCUCUUCUCCCCCUUGCAUUGGGCACGUGGUCAUCGAACCACGGCUAUGUUGUAUAGCUAUGUAUCAUGGACUUGCUGCCAUGGCUACAUAGCUAUUGGGUUUGGCCUCAGUUUAGUCUGGGUAAAUGAUGCACUGGUGGCUGUUGUACACUUGAAACUAAUACUUUCUUCGUUUCAAAAUUCUUAUCUUAGAUUUGUCUAAAUACGAAUGUAUCUACAAAACUUUUGGGAUGGAUGGACUAUUUCUUUUACAUGCAAAUGUGAGACAUGACAUUGCUUUGCAACUGCCACUUUGAUAGCUGAAUGCACUAGCGUUCCAUGUUAUGCAUAUUCAAUUUCAGUUUCGAUUUACCAUGUUAUGUCCAGUGGUUUUAUGCUAGCUGGUCAAUAUUCCUCUUGCUAAGGAAGUGUAUAUUAUUGGUAAACAGACUUGUUUACUUGUCUACUAGUAAACUGAGUAGCUAGCACACAAUUAUUUCAUCUCUGGAACUGCCGUCUUAGUGGUAAAUUUGACUAGGUAGCAUACGACCAUCCCUACUGUUCAUACCUAUGUACGUGGUGGUGGUCAUGGCCUUGAUUGCUGCCUAGGUGGUUUUCCUUUGGGUCAUUAUUAUAUGCACGUGGUGAUUAGUUUGGCACCAAGAAUUCUCUUGUCCUUGUUUUGAUUUCCUUGCUGUCAAACUGAUCAUCCUUGAUCAUUAUUAAUAAAAUAAUAAUAGAAUUCUCUUGUACAGUAGAUUGAUUGAUUGACGAAACACGCUUGCCUCUGCUUUUUAAAAUAAUAAAUUCUAGUCAUCAAAUUCCUGAAGCAACAACAUGUUUGUUUUGUAUACAACAAAAAUACAUUGAACCGUCUGACUGACCUAUAUCUGGAAAUUGUAAUUGCACCUAAUCUUAUAGGUUAAUUGUCUGAAAAUCCCCAAAUUAUAGGGUUGGUUCAUAGCUGUUUUUCAGGUCAUUUCUUUGUAGGUUAACACUUGUUUGAUCCCGGCAUGUUUGUGCAGGAAGGAUUGUGUGCAGCAGAGAAGGGGUUCAUCGUGCCGUUUGGGUUGGUUUGGGCCAGCUCCCGCGACGGCGUGGUUCGGCCUCGGCUACAAACAUUGAAGGUAUCCCCCUCUCCCUUCUUCUCCUCGUUUUUGUCACUUGAUCAUUUUUGUUUUCUUUGCAAAUGAUACUAUCCCAGCUUGUUGUCAAACAGGCUCAUUUCAUUUGCUUUGUGCGGAUGUGAGUUUAAUAGGUCUAGACCAUAUAAACAGAGCUAACAAAAGAUGUUUCUCUUCUCUGGUAGAGAGACUCAGGUGUGUUGUUGUGGCAGACAAGAAGAUAUUAAAAUGAUAAUCAUUAGUGCCAUUUCGUUUUUGUUUUUAUUUUAUUCUAUGGGCGCUCCCUCUGGAUUUUGUUUUUAUUUUAUUUGUCCGCAUGCGUUUUCGACGUUUUAGACGUUUUUUUUGUUUUUUUCAGCUUUUGGUUUUUUCACUUGUCUCCCUUAGCUUUUGGACCAAAAGAGGUUUGAUUUUUUGCACGAAAAAACGUGUUUUUCAGAGAACGCGGCCGUGCCUCUUGGAAACGAAUAAAAAACGUGUUUUUCUCUUCUUCUUCUUCUUCUUCUUCUUGCUUUUACGAGAGGCAUGAUUUUCCUUCCGUUAGAACACGGCCGACGCCGUGCCUCUGGUAAACGAAAAAAAAAA
rnacentral:lncRNA from 1 species